GUGAGCCGGGGAAGGCGGUGGAAAAAUUUGUUAAUCGAGGGUGAACGCACCUUUUACAUAGUAAAAUCGUGAAAUUGGAAAGAAAUUUUUGUUGCAGUUUUUUGACGUGACGUUACGGAACUCACUGCCAAUCUGUAAACACUACUGGGAGGGCGCUGGGGAUUGGAGAGGGGGGUUUCUUCAGAGAAGGGAGGUGCUGCCACCUCGUGGAGAGAGACUGGGGCCAUUGAUAUCGCCGAAGAACCGACGGAUGAAUUCGAACAACAAACUAUCAAAAAUCGCUUUAUCAACGAUGACUUUAUGAAUUAUCAUUAAAAUCGAAUUAAUGAUCGCUCGAAAAAAUUGAUAACAAUGUCUCCGCGGGUCGCCGUAUAUGUUAUUGACGAAAUCUGCUGACAGAGGAAAAGAUCUAAGAUUUUUGUGACACCUCAACUAUUUAAUGGACUACAACAUAAAAAAAUUGCAGAGAACAAACAGUUGGAGUUUCUCCAGGAAAAAUUAUUGCAGCUCGUUGCCCAGGAAGUGAUCGGAUGAAGAAAUAACAUCACUCAAUAGACUGUAUAGCAAUGAAUUUUAUUACCUCCGUAUCAUGUCCGAGUGUAUCGUCAAAUUGGUAUUUUAGUAUCUCCACAGUCCUCCCGCAUUACCUCAUAAUCACGUACUUUCUAAACAUAUGCAGUGAGAACAGUUGACUCCUCCCUAAUUUGCAUAUUUAUAUCCUCGUUUUAUCCAUUUAUUUCUCGUCGAUACAGAAAUCAUUGUAGCGAUUGUUAAUACAAACAUAAGAAAGACCCGUAUUUGGCGUUUCAUUUUGCGGGUGUUCCAGUUGAGAUUUCAUCAGCAUCAUUCAAAUUUCACUUUACAUUUAUUUAAUUUUUCAUAUCAAUUGUUGAAUCACGAAAAGAAUAAUUAAUUAAACAUCUCUCAGAUCAUUCACUAAAACAUUAUCUUUCAUACGUGAUUAUCAUAAAGUGUCAUUGCGAAUGCGAUUCUUAUCGUAUUUUUAAACAUUAGUGCAACAUUUUUUGCUAUGUUACAAAGCUAAAUUAAGGAAUUACAGUUUGAUAAGUCGGACACUAAUUAACAAGUGCCAAAAUUCAUUUUCUGUACAUUAUACAUACAUAUUUAACUAUUCCUCAAAAAGUUAUCAUUACUCUUUAUCAUUUUGUUUGUUUAAAACAGCCAAGGGGAUUGACAGUCUUAGAUGAGGUUGGUGGAGUAUAAUCAACGAGGAAAAUUACACGAGUUGUAAAAAAAAUCAAGCAAUUCGUUGUUUAAAAAAAUCACCUGAAUUCAAUUAAAAUUUCAAUAAACUCAGCCAUCAAUAAUUUCCAUAAUUUUCCUCGUUCCCUUGUCUCCAAAAAAUAAUAAUCGUAUUCGCAAUGCAUUCAAAGUAAACGACAUUAAUUUUUUUUCCACUUUAUUCAAAUCCUGAAGAGACAGAAUAAGGAGAAAUUAAAUAACAUCACGCACACAAAAUCAAAAAUCAUCGAUAAUUCAUUUUCCCAUUUUUUUUUUCAUUAGAUUUGAAAAAUUACUCGUACAUUAGUUACCAAAGAUAAUUCAUUUCCAGUUCUUAGUAAACAACAAUGAUUCUCGUUAUCAGAUAAUGAAUUUCUCAGAGGGAUGUCAUACCUUAAAAUUUAUUGAAUUGAAAAAAAAUCUUAUCGCCGAAUAAAAAAAUUUCAUUGCAAUUUCUUUGCCAUAUGAACGUUCAAGUUGCUCUCGUCGUGUACCUAACUAACAAGACAGGUCAAAUUCGGAGGCUGUAUUAUUUUCUGGGGGGUCGAGAACAAGGAUUCAUCUGCAGCUUAAUCAAGAGAAAUAAAUUAACUCUUUUCUCGUUUACCUAAACGCUUGGAAUAAAAGCGAAGAAUCUCUCUGUCCAGCAGUCUUUCGUUCAAAAAGUGUCUUCAAACGAAUGAAAAAUUUCAAACAAUUAU